GAUGAACGCUGGCGGCGUGCCUAAUACAUGCAAGUCGAGCGAACGGACGAGAAGCUUGCUUUUCUGAUGUUAGCGGCGGACGGGUGAGUAACACGUGGAUAACCUACCUAUAAGACUGGGAUAACUUCGGGAAACCGGAGCUAAUACCGGAUAAUAUUUUGAACCGCAUGGUUCAAAAGUGAAAGACGGUCUUGCUGUCACUUCUAGAUGGAUCCGCGCUGCAUUAGCUAGUUGGUAAGGUAACGGCUUACCAAGGCAACGAUGCAUAGCCGACCUGAGAGGGGGAUCGGCGACACUGGAACUGAGACACGGUCCAGACUCCUACGGGAGGCAGCAGUAGGGAACGGUCCGCAAUGGGCGAAAGCCUGACGGAGCAACGCCGCGUGAGUGAUGAAGGUCUUCGGAGCGUAAAACUCUGUUAUGAGGGAAGAACAUAUGUGUAAGUAACUGUGCACAUCUUGACGGUACCUAAUCAGAAAGCCACGGCUAACUACGUG
rnacentral:rRNA from 1 species